rnacentral:rRNA from 1 species
AACGAACGCUGGCGGCGCGUCUUAAGCAUGCAAGUCGAACGGCAUGAGGAAGCUUGCUUCCUCAGAGAGUGGCGGACUGGUGAGUAACACGUGGGUGACCUACCCUUGAGAUGGGGAUAGCCGUUAGAAAUAGCGGAUAAUACCGAAUACGCUCUACGGACUCUGGUUUGUAGAGGAAACAGGCUACGGCCUGGCUCGAGGAUGGGCCCGCGUCCCAUUAGCUAGUUGGUGAGGUAAGAGCCCACCAAGGCGACGAUGGGUAUCCGGCCUGAGAGGGUGUACGGACACAUUGGGACUGAGAUACGGCCCAAACUCCUACGGGAGCAGCAGCUAAGAUAUUCCGCAAUGGACGAAAGUCUGACGGAGCGACGCCGCGUGGAUGACGAAGGCCGAAAGGUUGUAAAAUCCUUUUGCUGAUGAAGAAUAAGCGUGGUAGGGAAUGACCGCGUGAUGACAUUAGUCGGUGAAUAAGCCCCGGCUAACUACGUGCCAGC